rnacentral:lncRNA from 1 species
GAGUGCAGCCCGGGAGGGGUGUGUGGCCGUUUAAGAGGGAGGAUGGAGGAAUUCCAUGAUCUGAUCUAUUUUUAGCUCAGGGAUGUUUAUUACAGCAAGAUUACAGUACUGGUUAUUUUAAGUAGUUCUUAAGGCAGGUCUAUAAUCCUGUCCUAAAGAACUGAAAGCCACCUGGUUGCUCUGCAGGGUUGUUUUGCAGAGGUACAGUGUCAGCCUCAGUUUGAGGCCGAAAAGGAAGCCCCGGAAGAAGACGCUGGCAGCAGUACCCCGCUGGCUGCCCUGGACCCAAGGCAGAAUUUCCCUUGUGUCUGCAGUGUGAGGCAGAACGGUUUUGCCUGGAGCAAGUGAAACGAUUCCUCUCCUGCUGUUACUAGUAAGCUUUCUGUUUCCAUCUUACGUGUCCCGAAGCAGCCCCGAGCAGCCCCGCAAGCCUGUGAUGGCUGGUUAUCCCUGUCUGAAAGGCUCGACUGAGGGAGAAAAUCUGUUCUGAGGCUUCAGGGUUUGGCGCUGUGCUCUUAAUGGCAGUCGAGGCUUAAUAAGGGGUCAAGUCGAACGGAUUCCAGAGGGGAUUGCGCUUACCCUGCUGAGACCCUGGUCCUGGUGCACUGUCCCUCUGCACCUUAAAGACAAGUGCCGCCACUGCCCUGUCAGGCUCUAGGUCCCCCAGUUUAAUGGCUCAGAGGGCACAGGCUGUUAGGGGGGCAGAAAUGGGCAAGUGGCCUGGAUUUGAUUUAUGCUCUUGUUGUGGGAUGAAGAGUGC